rnacentral:rRNA from 1 species
ACCCUGAUCCAGCCAUCCCGCGUGUGCGAUGAAGGCCUUCGGGUUGUAAAGCACUUUUGGCAGGAAAGAAACGGCGCUGGAUAAUACCUGGCGCAACUGACGGUACCUGCAGAAUAAGCACCGGCUAACUACGUGCCAGCAGCCGCGGUAAUACGUAGGGUGCAAGCGUUAAUCGGAAUUACUGGGCGUAAAGCGUGCGCAGGCGGUUCGGAAAGAAAGAUGUGAAAUCCCAGGGCUUAACCUUGGAACUGCAUUUUUAACUACCGGGCUAGAGUGUGUCAGAGGGGGGUGGAAUUCCACGUGUAGCAGUGAAAUGCGUAGAUAUGUGGAGGAACACCGAUGGCGAAGGCAGCCCCCUGGGAUAACACUGACGCUCAUGCACGAAAGCGUGGGGAGCAAACAGGAUUAGAUACCCUGGUAGUCCACGCCCUAAACGAUGUCAACUAGCUGUUGGGGCCUUCGGGCCUUGGUAGCGCAGCUAACGCGUGAAGUUGACCGCCUGGGGAGUACGGUCGCAAGAUUAAAACUCAAAGGAAUUGACGGGGACCCGCACAAGCGGUGGAUGAUGUGGAUUAAUUCGAUGCAACGCGAAAAACCUUACCUACCCUUGACAUGUCUGGAAUCCUGAAGAGAUUUAGGAGUGCUCGCAAGAGAACCGGAACACAGGUGCUGCAUGGCUGUCGUCAGCUCGUGUCGUGAGAUGUUGGGUUAAGUCCCGCAACGAGCGCAACCCUUGUCAUUAGUUGCUACGAAAGGGCACUCUAAUGAGACUGCCGGUGACAAACCGGAGGAAGGUGGGGAUGACGUCAAGUCCUCAUGGCCCUUAUGGGUAGGGCUUCACACGUCAUACAAUGGUCGGGACAGAGGGUCGCCAACCCGCGAGGGGGAGCCAAUCCCAGAAACCCGAUCGUAGUCCGGAUCGCAGUCUGCAACUCGACUGCGUGAAGUCGGAAUCGCUAGUAAUCGCGGAUCAGCAUGUCGCGGUGAAUACGUUCCCGGGUCUUGUACACACCGCCCGUCACACCAUGGGAGUGGGUUUUACCAGAAGUAGUUAGCCUAACCGCAAGGAGGGCGAUUACCACGGUAGGAUUCAUGACUGGGGUGAAGUCGUAACAAGGUAGCCGUAUCGGAAGGUGCGGCUG